CGAGCGUUAGGCGGAAUCACUGGGCUUAAAGCGCGUGUAGGCGGAUCGUUAAGUGUCUUGUGAAAUCCCACGGCUCAACCGUGGAACUGCUGGGCAUACUGGCGAUCUUGGGCCACUCAGGGGCGACCGGAACAAGCGGUGGAGCGGUGAAAUGCGUAGAUAUCGCUGGGAACGCCAAAGGUGAAGACAGGUCGCUGGGGGUGUGCCGACGCUGAGACGCGAAAGCCAGGGGAGCAAACGGG
rnacentral:rRNA from 1 species